ensembl:lncRNA
GUAGAGGAGAGCUGAAGGAGGCCUCAAGGAUCUGUGUGGUAUGAUGCACAUCCUUCCUUGAAAUGGCAAAAUCAAAAGCCCAGUGCCCUGGUUGAGAUUCUUCUAAUUAGGUAAAUUACCCAGGAUGCUAUCCUGGCUGUGAAAAGCAGAAUCAGGAGAAAUAAGGGCUGUAUUCUAAGUCUGGGUGUGGUCCCGUACCCCUCAAACCUCCAUUGUCACCACCACCAUCUUCUCCACAUCUUCCCCCAUAUCACCCCCAAAGCAACAGGAACAAUUCUAAAAACAGCCCCCCCAAAGGACCCUAUUUUUGAAUUAUCUCCCCUCUUGGAUCUCAGUGUUUCCUCCAGGUGUGUUCACACAGAGCAGGUCUCUAGGAUCUGAGACAGAUUCCAGAGGAAAGACUUCAGAUCCUAGCCCAGGUUACAUGUGUAUUCCUGGAAUGGAUAUGUACCUGACUACUGUAGACUUUGAACGGUCGUCAGGCUUCCAAGGUGAAACCAUAGAAGUCCAACACACAUGACCUCGUUUCUCACAUUUGGAUAAACAGGACCAGAGUCCACUUAAAAGCAUUCAUGAUCACUGUGUAUCUUACUGCAUCCCAUGCGGGCCACCGUCUUUACUGGAGAACAUCAUCAUACUGUGCGGCCAGACAAGUUCUUCAAGUCAUUUCCCUGGACAAGCGGCUUUGGAAACACCUGAAAAUUUGCAACAAAAGCAGACCAGACUGCUGAGUGAAUAACAUGAAGGAGAGGCCCAGCAACCCGUUAUCCUACAGCCCUCCAGGUGGCUCCAGCCCAUUCUACGUGCAGCAGCCUCUGCAGUACCUAAGCCACAGUUUAUCCUGAGUUAGUGUAGUCAUACUAGGAAUACACCAUACACAUGUGGUAACAUUAGAGUUGGACUCCAAACUCCGAAAAUAUGUGAACAAAAACAGGUCUGACCGACUCCACAGGCUUUAUUGGUUUCUUGCUCUUUCCCAUCUUCCUUCACUGCUUCCUUCUGUUCCUGGGAUCACCCCCUUCAAGUAAAUCACUUUUAUGUGUCGCAUCAUCAUAAUGCAAAUUAAAGCACUGUAAUUUAUUGAACAUUUUAUCAAAAUGUAAAACAUUACAAAAGAUCAACAGGUUAUGUUUGAUUGUGGGAUUGAAUACUACAUUCUCACUGUUGCGUUUGAUCAUUUUCAUUACAAAGUCAUAAGUAAUCAAAUGAUUAGACAGCUCUUUAGUUAAAUGUGUAAGAAUAAGCAUUCCAUUUGCAUACAUAAUUGUGAAUCUGGGAUGAACGUAUUCUGAAUUUGAGGGUUUUUUUUCAUAACACCCUGUUCCAGUGCACAAGGUAAAUAGGCUUUUUGUCAGAACUCAUGAUAGUGCAAGUAGCAGCAGCCACUGCCAGUCGUGUUCUCAUGUGUUCUGCUGUGCUACAGAGAAAUGUUUCUGCUUAUAUUGGUGGCCAAGUGAUAGCGUCCUGCUCAAUGAGAUUCAGAGAGAAGUGCCUGAAGAGGUUGGCCUUCUCUGAGUUAAAAACACUGGUUUUUAAUAAAAUUCCCUGUGUCCUCUCAG